AGGACGAACGCUGGCGGCGUGCUUAACACAUGCAAGUCAAGGGGACCCGCAAGGGUAACCGGCGAACGGGUGCGUAACACGUGAGCAACCUGCCUAAGUGUGGGGGAUAGCCGGCCCAACGGCCGGGUAAUACCGCAUACGAUCACUAUUUGGCAUCAUUUGAUGAUGAAACUUUCGAGGCACUUAGAGGGGCUCGCGGCCUAUCAGCUUGUUGGUGGGGUAAUGGCCUACCAAGGCAACGACGGGUAGC
rnacentral:rRNA from 1 species